rnacentral:rRNA from 1 species
CCUACGGGAUGCUGCAGUGAGGAAUAUUGGUCAAUGGACGAGAGUCUGAACCAGCCAAGUAGCGUGAAGGAUGACUGCCCUAUGGGUUGUAAACUUCUUUUAUAUGGGAAUAAAACGAGGCACGUGUGCCUUUUUGCAUGUACUUUAUGACUAAGGAUCGGCUAACUCCGUGCCAGCCGCCGCGGUAAUACGGAGGAUCCGAGCGUUAUCCGGAUUUAUUGGGUUUAAAGGGAGCGUAGAUGGGUUGUUAAGUCAGUUGUGAAAGUUUGCGGCUCAACCGUAAAAUUGCAAUUGAUACUGGCAGUCUUGAGUACAGUUGAGGUAGGCGGAAUUCGUGGUGUAGCGGUGAAAUGCUUAGAUAUCACGAAGAACCCCGAUUGCGAAGGCAGCUUACUAAACUGUGACUGACAUUGAUGCUCGAAAGUGUGGGUAUCAAACAGGAUUAGAUACCCUUGUAGUC